CGAGACUGGAUAUUUAUUUGUUUCUUUUUAUCAUCAUCUAAAGUCUUAUUUGGGCAGUUAGCUAUAACUAUUGUUUUAUUUGGCUUGUAUAUUUUCAUGUUUACAGGACUUCCCAACCCAUUGAACAUGAAACUUCACUGCAAUCAAUGGUAUUCCAACUAGCGGCCCAUCCACCCUUCCCAGCAUCUGAUAAGGGUUGGGGUAAAGAAUUAGGCCAAGUACAAUCCUAAUAUACUAUUUUGGAGUCUAUUUAUUUGGCUACUUGAAUUUGUAAUAUUUUCAUUGUAUCUGGAGAUUGUAUUUUUU